rnacentral:rRNA from 1 species
CUAAGCACGAAGCACACUCCAAGAUGAGACUUCCCGUGUGUCGAUUCGUCGACACCCUAAAGGACCCUGGAAGACUACCAGGUUGAUAGACGACAGGUGUAAGCGCUGUGAGGCGUUGAGCCGAGUCGCACUAAUAGUCCGUGUGUCUUAACCAAUUU